rnacentral:rRNA from 1 species
CAUGCCCAGGGCGACGUGGAUAACCUUCGAGGAAAACUGAGGAUAAACCGCGAUAGGUCACUACUUCUGGAAUGGGUAAUGACCCAAACCUAUAUGGCCCCUGGAUUGGACUGCGGCCGAUCAGGCUGUUGGUGACGGUAAUGGCCCACCAAGACCUGUAACCGGUACGGGCUCUGAGAGGAGGAGCCCGGAGAUGGGCACUGAGACAAGGGCCCAAGGCCCUAUGGGGCGCAGCAGGCGCGAAACCUCUGCAAUAGGCGAAAGCUUGACAGGGUUACUCUGAGUGAUUUCCGUUAAGGAGAUCUUUUGGCACCUCUAAAACAUGGGUGCAGAAUAACGGG